UACGGGGGGGGCAAGCGUUGUUCGGAAUUACUGGGCGUAAAGGGCUCGUAGGCGGCCAACUAAGUCGGAUGUGAAAUCCCCAGGCUCAACCUGGGAACUGCAUCCGAUACUGGAUGGCUUGAAUUCGGGAGAGGGAUGCAGAAUUCCAGGUGUAGCGGUGAAAUUCGUAGAUAUUCGGAAGAACACCAGUGGCGAAGGCGGCUCACUGGCCCGGUACUGACGCUGAGGUGCGAAAGCGUGGGGAGCAAACAGG
rnacentral:rRNA from 1 species